GCUGACUGGUGACAGACAUUGACUAAGAAGAAAGCACAUUAUCUCAUGCUACUUGUCUUAGGAAAGAAGCUUUACCUCAAGUAGGGAGAGGGUCACAGGAGGAAACUGCCUCUGCCUUGCAUCUUCUGCUACCCAUUGUGGAUCCCAGGGGGACUGCACAAGUGCCUUUUGUGGCCACAAGAUGUAACUCCAAUACAGUACUUUAUACCAACAACUGUGCGUUUUCCUUAAGCCACCAAGUUGCAGACUAUACUGGGAUUCCAUCCUGACUUCCCUAAGCAGAUGACCUCACCAGUGUGUCCGGAACCUCACCAUCACAGACCCCUUCCCUACUAGGCAAAGAGGGAAACAGGCCGGGGAUCUGGAUUGACCUUCCAACAUCCAUGUCCAAUGGAGAAGCAGUUGCAGAGUCAGACUCCCCACUUUCUGUACCCUAUAAAGAACUUUGGUCCAUACUCCCAGAGGGACCAAAAAUAGGGAAGCUUCCAAUGGAGGGGGUAGGAUAUGGAACUCUGGUGGUGGGAAUUGUAUGGAAUUGUACCCCUCUUAUCUUAAAAUUUUACUAAUCAUUGUUAAAUCACUAAUAAAAAAUUAAAUAAAUAAGUAAAUAAUCAUGCUCAGUUCAGGUUGUAAGUACUUAAAAAAAGAAGUAUAUAUCCGAGAUUAGAAUCAAUCAACCAAUGUGAAGACAGUAGAGAAGAAAGGAUAUGCAAGUUUCAAAAAUAAUAAGACCCUGGCCUCAAGGUAUGUUUGCCUAGGAAAAUAAGGCCUAUCCAGAGGAGCUCAAAAUUAGUAACAAGGGGCGCUGGGAAAAGUGCUGAAGGGCUAAGAGGUGAAAAACUCUUAUGAUAAAUGAGAUAAAGUGUCCCAGAUAAUAAAAACACUGUGUAGUAGGACAAGGAUUCCUCCUGAGUAUUUCCUAAGGGGAGAAAAUAUAUCAGCCUUCAUACUGAACACCACCACCACAUCCUGUUUAAUACUGCCAGAUCUUAGGAAGAAUGUCAUAUUUUCUUUAGGGAGAGAACAAAGGUGGUUUGGUGCUGCCCUCACAGCGCUGGCAUGAUCAAAGGAGGUGAGCCCAGACAUCUUUUUUUUUUUAAUAUUUAUUUUAUUUAUUUAUUCCCUUUUGUUGCCCUUGUUGUGAGCCCAGACAUCUUAUACAUUUGGUUGGACACAGAAAGUCCGAGAGGACAUAGAAAACAGCCACAACAAAACCAAAAGGGACAUUUGGUCAUUCUACCAGCGCCACCAAUUAUAUUAAUAGUAUUUUAUGGGAGUCGGGCAGUAGCGCAGCGUGUUAAGCGCACGUGGUGGGAAGCACAGGGACAGGCAAAAGGAUCCUGGUUCGAGCUCCUGGCUCCCCACCUGCAGGGGAGUCGCUUCACAGGCAGUGAAGCAGGUCUGUAGGUGUCUAUCUUUCUCUCCCCUCUCUGUCUUCCCCUCCUCUCUCCAUUUCUCUCUGUCCUAACUGACAACAAUGACAACAAUAAUAACUACAACAACAAUAAAACCAACAAGGGCAACAAAAGGGAAAAUAAAUUAAAAAGACCAGUAUCUUACAUUGUGUUUUUUGAUUUGUAAAGAUUUUCACUUUAUCAUCAUUUAAAAUGUCUAUGUUGUAAAGAUGGCAGCUGGUAAUACUCAUUUAAAGAAGAAGAAAUUGAAUUUGAUUGAUUGGUCUGAUAUCAUCUGAGUGACAGUGUUUUGGUCCUGCAGAAGUGGAAUUCAGAUCUACUAAAAAUUCUGUCUUUCUUGAGUUACUGUAAAAUUGUUAGGUUGUUGAUGGUUCUCUAUAACAAUAAGAGUAUUUAUUAAGGCCUUACUUUUUUUUUAUUGUAUAGAGACAUCCAGAAAUUGAGAGGGAAGGGGGUAAUAGGGAGAGGCAAAGAGACACCUGCAGCACUGCUUCAUCACUUGCAAAGCUUUCCUCCUGCAGGUGGAGACGAGGGUCUUGAACCCAGGUCCUUACGCAACACAACAUGUGCGCUCAACCAGUUGUGCCACCGCCUGGCCCUGAGGCCUUACUAUUUCUUUAGAAUGUGUAUUACUUCUUCAAACUAACUUAUGAGGUACAACUUCUCAAUUUCAUUUACAGUUAAGAAAAGGAAGGGAUUGGGAGCUGGGCGGUGUUGCAGCAGGGUCAGCACACAUGGUGGA